rnacentral:rRNA from 1 species
AUGCGGUUGGCGCUCCUCGCUUUGCUGGUUCAGAUGCAGACGGCAGCCAGUAGCCAUACCGUCGCACGGGUCUUCUUCAAGGCCGCCCCUCCAGCGCCGGAGGACAUGAGUGAGAGGAGAUGCAGGAAGUCCUCGUGCCUCCGGCGGCUAUUGCCCUGUCUCGCGUCGUCCCAGGUGUGGGCGUCGCUGCAAGAAGGCGGUUCCCAUCUGAGAGAGAGGGAUGGAUGGAUCGUGAUAGUGAGGGAGAAGUGGGAUCGUCGGAAGGGGAUCGCAGUGCGUGCGUUUAUUGGGAUCGUGGGAAGGGGAUCGCAGUGCGUGCAUUUUUUUUCUUUUUGGCUUUUGUCUCGUGCGGGAUGGGAAGAGGGGGAGGGCGUUGGUAAAACCAUCACGACCACUGCAGAUCCCUCUGUAAUAUAG